GUCUGUGUAGCUCAGUUGGUAGAGCGCGUGCUGUUUAAUCCGACGGUCCUGGGUUCGAUCCCCGGGUCCCGCC